UGGGCCUCAUUCAACAACGUGCUGAGUAUCUCCACCGACAGACUGGUUCACCGGGACCAACGCUUCCUGAACCACGACGGCAACAGGAACGCCGCGCACCUGUGAUCGCCCGUCACGUGACCAGAACCGAGUUUUUUGUGGCACCGGUGAAGGAUUUUAUUUUAACAGUGUCCAAAGAAUGGUUCACAUGUAUUCUCGAGUCAUAUCGCCUGCCUGAACAUUUCAGGAACAUUGUGCCCCUCUGUGACGGUGGCGCGGCGCCUCGGGUUGGAUAGAGACAUACGCAAACUUUUUUGGGCGAUAAUCACCUCUCGCAUUUCCAGUGGGCCGUUUAUUGUCCACACACAUUCAGAUGUUAUACGAUUUAAGUUUCAUAUUGUACAAAUGUUACAUUGUCGAAUAAAAUGAUGGUUCAGAC
rnacentral:misc_RNA from 1 species